rnacentral:rRNA from 1 species
AUGAACGCUGGCGGCGCGCCUAACACAUGCAAGUCGAACGGCACCCCUCUCCGGAGGGAAGCGAGUGGCGAACGGCUGAGUAACACGUGGAGAACCUGCCCCCUCCCCCGGGAUAGCCGCCCGAAAGGACGGGUAAUACCGGAUACCCCCGGGCGCCGCAUGGCGCCCGGGCUAAAGCCCCGACGGGAGGGGAUGGCUCCGCGGCCCAUCAGGUAGACGGCGGGGUGACGGCCCACCGUGCCGACAACGGGUAGCCGGGUUGAGAGACCGACCGGCCAGAUUGGGACUGAGACACGGCCCAGACUCCUACGGGAGGCAGCAGUGGGGAAUCUUGCGCAAUGGGGGGAACCCUGACGCAGCGACGCCGCGUGCGGGACGGAGGCCUUCGGGUCGUAAACCGCUUUCAGCAGGGAAGAGUCAAGACUGUACCUGCAGAAGAAGCCCCGGCUAACUACGUGCCAGCAGCCGCGGUAAUACGUAGGGGGCGAGCGUUAUCCGGAUUCAUUGGGCGUAAAGCGCGCGUAGGCGGCCCGGCAGGCCGGGGGUCGAAGCGGGGGGCUCAACCCCCCGAAGCCCCCGGAACCUCCGCGGCUUGGGUCCGGUAGGGGAGGGUGGAACACCCGGUGUAGCGGUGGAAUGCGCAGAUAUCGGGUGGAACACCGGUGGCGAAGGCGGCCCUCUGGGCCGAGACCGACGCUGAGGCGCGAAAGCUGGGGGAGCGAACAGGAUUAGAUACCCUGGUAGUCCCAGCCGUAAACGAUGGACGCUAGGUGUGGGGGGACGAUCCCCCCGUGCCGCAGCCAACGCAUUAAGCGUCCCGCCUGGGGAGUACGGCCGCAAGGCUAAAACUCAAAGGAAUUGACGGGGGCCCGCACAAGCAGCGGAGCAUGUGGCUUAAUUCGAAGCAACGCGAAGAACCUUACCAAGGCUUGACAUCCACUUAAAGUUAUGGAAACAUAAUGUCCCUUCGGGGGAAGUGAGACAGGUGGUGCAUGGUUGUCGUCAGCUCGUGUCGUGAGAUGUUGGGUUAAGUCCCGCAACGAGCGCAACCCCCGCCGCGUGUUGCCAUCGGGUGAUGCCGGGAACCCACGCGGGACCACCGCCGUCAAGGCGGAGGAGGGCGGGGACGACGUCAAGUCAUCAUGCCCCUUAUGCCCUGGGCUGCACACGUGCUACAAUGGCCGGUACAGAGGGAUGCCACCCCGCGAGGGGGAGCGGAUCCCGGAAAGCCGGCCCCAGUUCGGAUUGGGGGCUGCAACCCGCCCCCAUGAAGUCGGAGUUGCUAGUAAUCGCGGAUCAGCAUGCCGCGGUGAAUGCGUUCCCGGGCCUUGUACACACCGCCCGUCACACCACCCGAGUCGUCUGCACCCGAAGUCGCCGGCCCAACCGCAAGGGGGGAGGCGCCGAAGGUGUGGAGGGUGAGGGGGGUG